GGAGAGAUGGUCGAGCUGGCUUAAGGCACCGGUCUUGAAAACCGGCGUACCUUUACGGGUACCGUGGGUUCAAAUCCCACUCUCUCCG
rnacentral:tRNA from 1 species